GGAGGGGCAGAGCGGCUUGCCGGGUAGGACAGCGGGUGUUCCAUUCUCAGGCGUGCGGCCUGCUGGUGGCGCCGCGUCACGCGCCCAGUACGUGCGCCACUCCGUUCUGGAACCUUCCCCCAGCUAAAGAAGGGGAGAAAGAACAAGAAAGGUGCCAGAACCUCCCAUAUAUGGGCAGCGUCGGAAGCAUUUACGUCAUGGCGUCGCGUCGUAGCGUGUCUGCGGGCCGCGAGCGGAACGUGACAGCGUUGUGCCCUGCACAGCGCCCUGGAAACCAAACAGUAAACAGCUCGCGGGGGAGGGGCGGCUCAGUACGCAGGCGCACGGGGAGCUUGUCGCCGAGGGUGGGCUGCGAAGCCCUCUGGUAAAGCCGGGCGCAGAGGAAGAUUAAAUCUGUCAAAUCCUUCUGUUUUUCACAAGCACAAAAGUCACGUGAAUUUAUUGAUGAAUAGACGAUUGCUACCUUUUCCCAAAGUUUGGAAUUGACUAAUACUGGAAACCUCUGUGAUUACCUCAAGCUGCUCAGUAAUUACACAAAAUAAAAAUAGACUUAUGGAUAAUGAAUUUUCAAAACUGUAUUUAGAAAUAUC